CCCGCCCGGCGCUCCUGGCCUUAUUUAGUCAAGGAGGCCGCCGAUUGGCGCGCGGGACAGAGGGGCGGCGGCCGGGCAGCCUCGGGGCGUAGGAGUGGCCCGGCGCCUCCGAGGGGUCGGGGCGGGAGCCGGGCGUGGGGGGCCUCGGAGCCUGGGGAGUCCCGGGACCGACGGCGGCGGGGAUGCGGGUCUGCCUGUCCCUGGGAUGCGGGCGGGCGGGCAGGGCGAGGCCUGGAGCCCGCGGGGCGCAGGGGGCUGGACCGCGCGCUGUGAUUUUUCUGUUUAGCAGCGGGGCCUCGCCCAAGGUCGCGCGGGGCCUGUCCUGGAUAUGCUCUGGGAAGCCAGUGGCGCAGGGCAGCCGCCACCCUUCUGGAACCAGUGCCGGAGAGGGCCGGGCAGCUGGGCCUGGGGAGGGGACCGCAUGGAUGGAGCUGGGGGUAGCUGGGCGGCCUCCGGAGCCGGGAGAGUCGGCAGCUGCACUUCCGCCAGAGGUGGGUGUGUCCUUCACAUUUCAGGAAGGGAGACUUGGGGCCUGGAGAAGCGAUGUGAUUUUUCUUUUCUAGUUCAGUGCUGGUUUUGAUGGCUUUUUAUCAUGACCUUGUUAUGUCUUAUUUUAGUUUCGGCCCAUUUAGUGGAUACGACAACAGUGGCCCAGGGAGGUAUGGCAGAGCUGAGGCUUAACCCAGGGCCUGCGCCCUCCACGGCCUGCACUGCCCCACCUCCAGCUCCUUGCCCUGUUCCUCCCUCUGCACCGGAUCAGCCCCCGGACUCUGGGUCACCUCCACACCAGUUGACAGGGCCCCCCAGUCCCCACCGCCAACCACCUGGCCGGCUACUUGUCAGACAGACAUGGGGGCGUGGGCAUGGGUCCCCACCCCUAGCCUUUGCCUCUGUCACUCUACCUGCCUGGAAUGUCUACUUUUUCUUUAUAUUUUAUUUUAUUGUAUUUUUGAGACAGUCUCAUUGUCGCCCAGGCUGGAGCGCAGUGGCGCGAUCUUGGCUCGCUGCAACCUCUGUCUCCGGGGUUCAAGCGAUUCUCGGGCCUUAGCCUCCCGAGUAGCUGAGACUACAGGCGUGCACCACCAUGCCUGGCUAAUUUUUGCAUUUUUGGUGGAGACAGGGUUUCACCAUGUUGGCCAGGCUGGCCUGAACUCCUGACCUUAAGUGAUCCACUCGCCUAGGCCUUCCAAAGUGCUGGGAUUACAGGCGUGAGCCACCUCACCCAGCCUGGAGUGUCUCAUCUUCCACCACUAAAUGAAACGAUGGACCCUGAACAGAAAAAGGAACAGUGGUGGAAGAACUAGCAAAGCCCACAGCCUUGAGUUUGGCCGUAAGUAUCAAGGUUAAUCUCUCAGUUAUGGCAGUUGUCCCAUGACCGUGUAAGAUGCCAGGUUAGGGGACACUGGGAAUAGAGCAUUGGGAAACCUUCCCACUGUCUUUGCAACUUUUCUGUAAGUUUAAAGUUCUCCCAUAAUAAAAAGCUAACUUGAAUCCAAGGCAAGCAAAGCUUCCCUACUCUCAGCCCACCUCCCUCUUCUCCCACACCCUUUUGGACAGAUGAAAUGCAAGGUGAUGGCCCUGUUUCCUGAAGCUCUUUCCAGGGCCUGGCUGGCUCCCUUGGGCAGGUCUGGAGUGGGCUCUGCCUCUUCAGGAACAGUGGUCCCAAGGCUGGUCCCGGUGGGCAAGGCUGGUUUCCUGCAACUCGGCCUGGCUGCCUCUGAGUUUUGGCUCAAGGGACAAGGCCAGGGUCCCACACUUCUGUCUCCUGGCUGGUGCCCAGCUUGGGGCUUGGUUCUCCUGCCCCACUGCGCAGACUGAAGCUCAGAAGGCUCAGCUGGCUGCCCCCCACC
rnacentral:lncRNA from 1 species